rnacentral:tRNA from 1 species
GGUAUAGCUCAGUGGUAGAGUGUGUGCUUAGCAUGCACAAGGGCCUGGGUUCAAUCCCCAGUACC